CCUAAAACUAAAUGGCAAGAAACCCUACACCUACCUCUCUCGAUUUGUAUAAGCAGACAACACACCACACAACUCACAACCCUCACAAGCAUCCCUCUAUCUCCCUCUCUCUAAAAAAUCCGGUCACCGGAUUAGGGUUCCGGCGACCCUUCCGGCGCCGCCUUUCCGGUGAGCCACAACCAAACGAACCGGGCACGACCCCCCACCUUUACCACUCUCGUCUCCUCUCCCUUGUCCCACACAAACAACAGCAGCAACACCGCCACUCGACGGCGGCGGUAGAACGGAACGAUGGGCGGCGGUAGAUCGGAACGAUGGGCGGCGACUCGCGAUUCGGGUUUCGAGUUUAAUCGGUUCAGGUCAUCGGAGCUCCGGCCCGGCUGACAACUGCAACGAGUUUAGGUCUCGGUUCAGUUGAAUCGGGUGGCUCGGGAUCGAGCCUGGAUUUGUUUCGGUUCAGCUUCCGUUCUCUUGUUCGAGUCCCGUUCGACCUCAGUCCACUCCGGUCAUCAUACGGCUCGGGUCUCAGGUCAACGGCUCAGUUUUGGCUCGGAAUCGGAGUUUACGUCGGCUCCGAGUCUUCACUGUUUCGGGUGACCUCGGUGUUCCAUCCUCCAAAUCUUUUACGCUCGUCAACACUUGGAUAAUCGGAAGACUUGGCAAUUAUGUGAGUAUACUCGAACCCAUUUUUACUUUUAAACACUUUGGGUGCAACAUCUAUUCUAUAUUAAACGCACGUGACACUUGAAACUUAUUUGAAACAUGAUCUAUCCAUUUAAACAUGAAACAUGAAACUUGUGAUACUUGAGACUAUUUUGUGCUAUGUGAACGUUUAAUCCCUGUGUGUAGUUCCGCCUUAACAAUAGUAGCGCUAUAGGGGUAAUGCACCUCCCCCAUUUGUAGUCGAGGGGUAUUGUUAGGAGGAGACAUAUUAACCUCCCGUGAAACUUUGGGUUAGGUACUUUAAAGCAUUGGAAACUUGGGCUAUCACUUGGACUGCGUAAACUAGCAUGGCUGAAACUAUUUUAUUAUGUUCAUGUUGGAUAUGAGUUUUUAUUCUAUUAUGCUAUGUAAACAAACUUGUAUACUCGCUCUUUGCUUUUGCAUUGAAACUCUAUUUUAAUACAUGUUGCAGGUUGAUUAUUGAAGUAUGGAUGAUUGAUGAAACAAUUUAGGGUGGCUAGAUACACACCUAAAUUUAUCUAUCUUUUGUUGUUAUGUUAUUUGUUGAAACAAUGUUGUUAUUUCCUUUUGAAUAUUGUGUAAGAUUUAGUUUUGAAAUGAAAUUUGAAUUUAAUUAAAUAUUGUCACAUAGUGUUAUGACGCCUCUAGCAAUCUUUACACACUUCGUCUCAUCCCGAUGUUUCCGCCAUCGGUUGGGGUGUGACAGAUUGGUAUCAGAGCCAUAACUAUAGGGAAUUAGGAAAAGUAGGAAUGCUUUAACCUAGUCUAUAGUUUUAGAGCUUUAUUCGUAUGUUUUACUUGAAACUACUUGCAUGCUACUUUAUUUGCCUUAUUUAUUCUCUUAUGAUCUUUUAAACAUAUGUGUCACUUAUGUGUUAAUACUUGACAUGCCAUCCUUAUGUGUUAAUAUUUGUUUCAUUGUGUGUUAAUGCUUGUCUAUUCUGUUCGAUACUUGUUGUAUUAUGUGUUGAUACUUGUUUUAUUGUCCUAAUCCUUAUGUGUUACUCUCGACAUGCCUUCUUAUGUGUUUAUGCUUGUUCGUUUGUCCUUUUAACAUACGCUCUCCCUAAGGCAUUUUACUCGAUUUUUCUUAAACUCGAAAACACUCAUAUUAUACAAAAGUGACGAGUUUACCAAAAUAGGCGUGAAACCCACAAUUUGGUAAACAACUCUCAUCCCGCUUGAUUUCAUUUUGUUGCACGAAAUUCCACCAGUAAGUUAGGAGUGAAAUCCACAUCUUAAUGGAAAUUUCAAAUUUCAAAUUUCAAAUUCAAUUUCUAGUGGACCCUCGUUAACGUGUCGAAAUUAAAUUUCGACCCAACGAGUACCAACCACACUUAGGGCAUGAACUCGUCAAGCUAGGGGUGAAACCCGCACCUAGUCGACUAGUCCCACUCCUUGAUUUUACAUAAAUCUCGCCAAGUCUCGAAUUUUCGAUUGAAUUGGGGCAUGUAGUAACCGGAAGGGUGAAUACCGUUAACCGACUUGUCGGCGAGAGUAUACCAUCUAUUAGGCCAAAGCAUGCUCUUCAAUUUCGAAUGACCUUUCGACCACUUUGGUUAGUCAACGUUCCGUUUUGGAACCAUCCAAGUCUCUUUUAUCGAACUUACGCCUUAUUAUUUUCGAUCUUUUAUGAUGAAAUUCUCUCUUGUCAAUUUUGAACUAUUUGUGAGAUUUCACUUUUGCGCAUACAUCAUACUAUUACUUUUCAUACGAUUACGCAUUAUUAGCAUGCAUAAUUUCUCGUAAUUUUAUUUACAUUUUUCUUUUUGUAACAACAAGUGGAGACAUAUCGUCGAGAUAGGAGUGAUUUCCUUACCUUGACGAUUAACUGCGCUUCUUUUUCUCAUCUUACAACGACCUCACCAAUGGGUUAGGGGUGAUUCCCUUACCUAGGUGAUCAUUACCGAUACUUUCUUUUAAUAGACUAUGUUAUGUAAACGCGAUCAUUUAUACAUCUAAAUCGAUUAUCAUUAGUCAAAUCUCUAAUUAUUUCAAAAUGCAUUGUUUAUAUGAAUGAACUUCUUAUCCUACAAUCUAUAUUUUCAUAUAGCUUACACACGUGAAAUUUUUAACUUUUCCGUAGACACUUGUUUCUCAAUAUUCAAAACUUUACGAAAUGCUACUCACCAACUUAGUUGGUUUAAUAAAUUCAUUGCCCACAAAAUUUCGUAUUCCGCGUAAUUACUAAAACGCAUUCGUCUUGCAUCAUAUUAUACAAAAGAUUGUUAUUUUUCAAUUGAUAAUCAAACCAACUUUUCAUACAAAAUAUUACAAAUAUUAUCCGAUCGUUUAUCGAAACUCUUUCCAAGAUCAUAAAAAAAAAAGAAACAUUUUAUUAAGGACACCUUUCACGAUCACUAAGUUCAUAUACCAAAUUCUUUUUUUCUAAGGAUUAAAUUUUUCACAAGAAUCUUGUAAACUUCAAAAUUUUCUAAUACAAAGUUAUUUAAAGCGAUGCGAACUUGUUAACCCCUAGAAUUUUUUUUCAAAACCGCACUCGAUAAGCCAAUUAAAUUCAAAACACGUGGGCAAGGAAACUUCAUAAGAACCAACAAAUUUUCAACUUAUGUAAACUCUUUUAAAAUCGUAGUAGUAUUUCCAUUCUUUUACAAAGUACGUUUCACGUAACCGAUAGCUGUUUUAUACCUCCUUACAUGCACAAACUAGAUUCUACAUCCCACGACAACUCAAUCUAUUUUAACUUCACGUUUUGCGCAAACAACUAUAUAUGCAUAUCAUUUUACCCGUUUUAGUCAAUGUCUCACAGCAAUCUCGCGCGUGUCACUCGUUUCCUUUUUCUUUCAUACUCAAGGUUUUAAUCUUUUACGCACAUAAACUUGUGUAUUUCGAUUUAUACUAUAAACAAAUCAGUAUUUCCUACAUCCAUGUUUAUGCAUUUUAUGCCUUCACUUAUGUUCACACUUACACAUUUAUGUAUUACUCAUGGUUCAAAAUUUAUACGUUUUACGUUUAUACACACACUCACAAUUAUACAUUUACAUUGUCCUUACAUUCAUGUCUAUACUACAUUCAUAUUCACGUUCAUACAUUUUAUGUUUUCAUUUACACUUGUACAACUCUGUUACGCUUAUAUUCGUACAUAUAUAUAUAUUAUUCAUACUUAAACCUUCAUGUUUUACACCUAUGUUCCCGUUCAUAUCUAUGCUCAUACAUCUUAUGUUCACACUUAUAGUCGUAUUCGUACUCAUACGCUUUGUGUUUAUACUCACAUUUAUACUUUUUUUUGUACACGUUAUGCUUAUACUUUUACUCAUACCCCUGACAUGCGUUUUGUGUUUAUGCUCAUGUGCGUGAUCACGUUUGAACUUAUGCUAUGCUCAUGCUUUUUACUCAAAAUUUAUACUUUCGCGCCUAUACGCGAGCGAAACCCGAGGGAUUCGCUUACGUUGGUCUUAUACUAUUUGGAACGCAAACAUACUUAUAUGUUACAUUUUUUUUCAUUCACAUGCGAUCUUAUUUUCAAGAUUUAUGUAUACCGUAAUUCAUACGCAACUAGUACAAGCUAUGCGGAUCAGGCGACGAUUGAUGUAAUCGCGGGUGCACACGGGAUUAUAGUAAUCGGCGUAUGAGAAUCAUAGAGUGUACUACUGCGUAUGAUAAGACACAGAACGUAUCAUGACACCGAGUACGAAACAGACGUAACACGGUUGAAACAUGGUGGAUACGCCGCUGGUACUUCCUAUAUAUAAGUGUUUUCACCAUGUUACCAAACUUUCGUGAAAACGUGCCAUGAGAGAUUCAGUGUUUUGUAGACCUUUGGACCUAAUUCAAACCUUAAACAACUCACGAACGCCUUAUAACCGAUUAUCCACGACGAGACUCAAUUCUUAGCGCACUACUUUUGUCUAUCCGAUACGUAUGACAUUCUUAUACUUGUAAUCACUUAUUAGAUCAAUCGUUCACCCUUACAUCUCCGUUAUUCUCCGUUAUUCAUACAAGCCUUAAUUUUAAACGAAUCUCUUCUCUUUGCCAAAAUCCUUUCAAGUCUUGCUCCUGAAUAAAUUUCGGGACGAAAUUUCCUAAAGGAGGGGAGACUGUAACGCUCCGCGUUUUCAUAACUUUCCAUAUUUAGAAAACCGUUGUUCAUGUUCCUUUUUUUUUGGAAACUUCAUAUCCUUGUGUUUGUCGUCUCGCUUUAAAAAAAAAUGAUUAUUUAUUUAUAGUUUAGUUAUUUAAAAUACAUUGAGUUCACUAUUUAAAAGUUUUCUUCUAUAAUAAAUUUAGUUAGUCGUUAACUUUUAAAGUUAGCCAAAUAACAAAAUAACCUAGUUAGUUUGGUCAACUACGUUUUAUAACUUAAACUAAGUUAUUUCAGCUAAUUAGUUGACCUUUCAAAGUUGAGGGACUUUAUUAGUCUUUUACUAAAACUAAAUGGCAAGAAACCCUACACCUACCUCUCUCGAUUUGUAUAAGCAGACAACACACCACACAACUCACAACCCUCACAAGCAUCCCUCUAUCUCCCUCUCUCUAAAAAAUCCGGUCACCGGAUUAGGGUUCCGGCGACCCUUCCGGCGCCGCCUUUCCGGUGAGCCACAACCAAACGAACCGGGCACGACCCCCCACCUCUACCACUCUCGUCUCCUCUCCCUUGUCCCACACAAACAACAGCAGCAACACCGCCACUCGACGGCGGCGGUAGAACGGAACGAUGGGCGGCGGUAGAUCGGAACGAUGGGCGGCGACUCGCGAUUCGGGUUUCGAGUUUAAUCGGUUCAGGUCAUCGGAGCUCCGGCCCGGCUGACAACUGCAACGAGUUUAGGUCUCGGUUCAGUUGAAUCGGGUGGCUCGGGAUCGAGCCUGGAUUUGUUUCGGUUCAGCUUCCGUUCUCUUGUUCGAGUCCCGUUCGACCUCAGUCCACUCCGGUCAUCAUACGGCUCGGGUCUCAGGUCAACGGCUUAGGUUUGGCUCGGAAUCGGAGUUUACGUCGGAUCCGAGUCUUCACUGUUUCGGAUAACACUCUCGUCCGUUCUCUUGGACUCCCGUUUACUCAUGCACCGUCGUUUACCCAUGUAGGGUGACUUCGGUGUUCCAUCCUCCAAAUCUUUUACGCUCGUCAACACUUGGAUAAUCGGAAGACUUGGCAAUUAUGUUGAUUAUUGAAGUAUGGAUGAUUGAUGAAACAAGUUUAGGGUGGCUAGAUACACACCUAAAUUUAUCUAUCUUUUGUUGUUAUGUUAUUUGUUGAAACAAUGUUAUUAUUUCCUUUUGAAUAUUGUGUAACAUUUAGUUUUGAAAUGAAAUUUGAAUUUAAUUAAAUAUUGUCACAUAGUGUUAUGACGUCUCUAGCAAUCUUUACACACUUCGUCUCAUCCCGAUGUUUCCGCCAUCGGUUGAGGUGUGACCAUUAAGGCAUUGAUUUGACGGAGUUAGGUAACUGACAUAGUGGCUUAUAGAAAGAGCUUAUGAUUCACUCAUGUGACUCAUAUAGGUUUUUUCGUGGUUGGAGUUGUGUGACUAAUCAUAAUGGUAUAAUUUUGAUAACAUGUCAAAUAAGUGCAUUAAAAGACAUGCCAAAUAGGUGCUUAAAAAGACAUACCACAACCAAGGUGUAAAGCGUCCGACUAACAAAGCGAUACAAUAGUUAGCGGUACAACACAAUCUUCCGUUAACAACAUUAGUUUCUAACCAUAUAAGUUAAAACUCAAAACUAAAGUCGAGUAGCAAAAAAAAA